CCCUUGGUUUGCCAAAUUGCAUCCUUUUUUCCAGCAACAAGAGACUAGAGCCUUUCAUAUGAGAACUGUAGCAAAUAAUGGAACAUUCGGAACUACUUAAACCAUAUUAAAUAGAUAUUUUUCCACAAUCUAUAGAAUUUAAGGUGUUUUUAUAAAUUAGAUGUCUAAUUUUUAAGUAUCAAAUGCAUUUUUGAUGAAAAAAUGUGGUCUGUGGUCUCCUCCACUCCCGCUUGGCCACAGCAGCAGCCUUCACCCCGGCCGCAGCGAGGAGAUGUCCGCAGAAGGGCAGCGCAGCCCGUCUCUGCCCCUAAACCUGCCAAGCGUCAGGGCAAGCGGCGUUCCUGAGACGGGCGACCCGGAGUUGAGGAUGUCAGCUCAUCAGGAGAUGGUAGCAGGACCACUCCUUCCCCCGGAAGAGGAGGGCUGGGGGAGAAUCCUUUGUUAUCGUUCUCUUUUUGUUCCGCCACUGGCCCCCCCUCCCAAGAGGCCACAGACGACAGUUGGCGACGUGCUUCCUCGCUGCUCUCGUUCCCUUCUUCCCUUGCCAGUUUCCACACAGAGCAGGCUUGAGAAUGCAUUGCCUUCUCAUGCCCUCUUUGCCACUCGGAAUCAGACGAGUGCUUGCACUCCGCCCCCGCUAAGGGACGCUAUGCCUCCCAUGCCGGGGCUGUCUGUUCCACCUCGCUGCCCCACUGUGAGUAUGCCUGUAGUUCCCUUGACCCCACUGGAUCGGUUUCUGGGAGCCUGGCUAGAGCUCCCCAGGCUGUCCCGCUGGCUCAUCCGAAUGAUCAGGCUCGGCUACGCGAUUCAGUUCGCCUGGCGUCCCCCCAGGUUUUGGGGUGCUCGCGCGAUGAUGGUGGGCAAGGAUGCUCCUGUCAUGCGUGCGGAGGUUGCAACCCUGCUGGCAAAGGGUGGGAUAGAGCCGGUCCCUCCAGUCGACAUGAAGUCCAGCUUUUACAGCCACUACUUCAUAGAACCCAAGAAAACAGGUGGGCUACGGCCAAUCCUGGAAUUGCCUGCCUUGAACCGAGCUCUUCACAGACUUCUGUUCAAGAUGCUAACGCCCAAGCGCAUUUUCGAAUGCAUUCGUCCAUUGGAUUGGUUUGCAGCAAUCGACCUGAAGGACGCGUACUUUCAUGUCUCUAUUCUUCCUCGACACAGACCGUUUCUUCGGUUUGCUUUCGAGGGGCAGGCAUACCAGUACAAGGUUCUCCCAUUCGGGUUGGCCCUGUCUCCCCGUGUCUUUACAAAGGUCGCGGAGGGAGCCCUGGCUCCUCUCAGGGAACAAGGUGUCCGUAUCCUCAACUACCUCAACGGCUGGCUGAUUCUAGCUCACUCUCAAGCGCGGUUGUGCGAGCACAGGGAUCUGGUGCUCAGACACCUCACCCGUCUGGGUCUUCGGGUCAACUGGGAAAAGAGCAAACUCUCCCCCGUGCAGAGAAUCUCUUUUCUCGGUAUGGAAAUAGCCUUGGUUGCCAUGUUCGAGCAGCUUACGAGCGAGCGCGCGCAGUCACUGCUGAAUUGCCUGAGUCAAUUCGAGGGCAAGAGAGCGGUUCCACUGAAACUGUUUCAGAGGCUCCUG
ensembl:lncRNA